UACAGAGGUCUCAAGCGUUGUUCGGAUUCAUUGGGCGUAAAGGGUGCGUAGGCGGCGCGGUAAGUCGGGUGUGAAAUUUCGAGGCUUAACUUCGAAACUGCAUUCGAUACUGCCGUGCUUGAGUACUGGAGAGGAGACUGGAAUUUACGGUGUAGCGGUGAAAUGCGUAGAUAUCGUAAGGAAGACCAGUGGCGAAGGCGGGUCUCUGGACAGUUCCUGACGCUGAGGCACGAAGGCCAGGGGAGCAAACGGG
rnacentral:rRNA from 1 species